CCAAUAAAGACUUUUUUUUUAAUUUAUCUUAAGAAAAAAGAAAAAAAAUGAUAGUCUUUAACCAAAAUGAUUGUGUGUGUUUUAAAAGUCAUUGUCGUUUUACUUUUUCAGACUCUCCCCCCAAACCCACAGUGCAGCUGUAUGUGGAGCAGAAGGAGGUGCAGGAUCAGGAGGAGGUGUUGGAGGGGAGAUCUGUGAGUCUGCGCUGCUCUGCUGAGACUCUCUGCUCCUCUCCUCCACCAACUCUCACAUGGAGCUCCACUCCCAGAAUCCCCCUCAGUGAGAGCAGCAGACUAGAGGAGCUCAUCUCUGAUCUGAACUUCACUGCUACUCACCGUCAGCACAGAGUCACUUUCACCUGCACUAUAACCUACCAGCUACAGGACGAGACCAAAACAGCACAGGACAGCAUCGCAUUACAUGUUCAGUAUGCCCCUAAAAUCUCUCCAUCCUCCAGCUGUACCAGGACUGAUGUAACUGUGUGUUUCUGUGAGGCUGAUGGGAAUCCCUCUCCUGAACUGGAGUGGCAUCUGUCAGGACGUCCUGUCACUAACUCUUCAAACACAUUCAUCAGUGAAGAGCGAUUGAGCAGCACAGGCUUGAGGAGCUCCAUCACUCUUCAUCAGUCUCUCACACACACAUCCACUCUGCAGUGUGUCAGCAACAACACUCAUGGCACUGCAAGUCAACUCUUUCAAUUGCCUUCAUCUGUUUUAUGUGAGUUUUAGUUCUGUGAUUCAACCAGUAUAAGAUAAACUGAACAUCUGUUCAUGUCAGUCUGUAAAUGAAAAACGUGUAAAUUGUUCAUUCAUCGACUGAGUGACAGUCAUUGACUUCAAUGGGAAUGCUAAACUAAUCUCUUUCUUUUCAGAUUGUUUCUCUUUCAUUGCCUUUUUUUGUUAUUUUGUUGUUUAAAGGUUAUGAUGUGACUUGCUUGCACUUGUUUUACUGAAUCAGUGAAUCAUCAGUUGUUUUCCAAACACUCAUUUAUUCUUCUUUAGGUUUGAAUCUCUCUGUGCUGAUUGGAGUUGUUGUUGUUGUGGCUUUGGUGGUCAUGAUGAUGUGUGCCAUUAUAUAUACAUGUGUACGGUAGGUGCAUGACACAUUGUGACGAGCACUCCCAGAGGAA
ensembl:lncRNA